GACGAACGCUGGCGGCGUGCUUAACACAUGCAAGUCGAACGGAAAGGCCCCUUUGGGGGUACUCGAGUGGCGAACGGGUGAGUAACACGUGAGUAACCUGCCCUUGACUUCGGGAUAACUUCAGGAAACUGGGGCCAAUACCGGAUAGGAAUCCUUGCUGCAUGGUGGGGGUUGGAAAGCUUCGGCGGUUUUUGAUGGACUCGAGGCUUAUCAGCUUGUUGGUGGGGUAGUGGCUUACCAAGGCUUUGACGGGUAGCCGGCCUGAGAGGGCGACCGGCCACAUUGGGACUGAGAUACGGCACAGACUCCUACGGGAGGCAGCAGUGGGGAAUAUUGCACAAUGGGCGGAAGCCUGAUGCAGCAACGCCGCGUGCGGGAUGACGGCCUUCGGGUUGUAAACCGCUUUCAGCAGGGGCGAAUCUUGUGGUGACGGUACCUGCAGAAGAAGCACCGGCUAACUACGU
rnacentral:rRNA from 1 species